rnacentral:rRNA from 1 species
UACGGAGGGUGCAAGGCGUUAUCCGGAUUCACUGGGUUUAAAGGGUGCGUAGGUGGGUCUGUAAGUCAGUGGUGAAAUCUCCGUGCUUAACAUGGAAACUGCCAUUGAUACUAUAGGUCUUGAAUUUUCUGGAGGUCAGCGGAAUAUGUCAUGUAGCGGUGAAAUGCUUAGAUAUGACAUAGAACACCAAUUGCGAAGGCAGCUGGCUACAGGGAUAUUGACACUGAGGCACGAAAGCGUGGGGGAUCAAACAGG